GACGAGCGCUGGCGGCGUGCUUAACACAUGCAAGUCGAGCGAUGAAGUUCCUUCGGGAAUGGAUUAGCGGCGGACGGGUGAGUAACACGUGGGUAACCUGCCUCAUAGAGGGGAAUAGCCUUUCGAAAGGAAGAUUAAUACCGCAUAAGAUUGUAGUAUCGCAUGAUACAGCAAUUAAAGGAGUAAUCCGCUAUGAGAUGGACCCGCGUCGCAUUAGCUAGUUGGUGAGGUAACGGCUCACCAAGGCGACGAUGCGUAGCCGACCUGAGAGGGUGAUCGGCCACAUUGGGACUGAGACACGGCCCAGACUCCUACGGGAGGCAGCAGUGGGGAAUAUUGCACAAUGGGGGAAACCCUGAUGCGGCAACGCCGCGUGAGUGAUGACGGUCUUCGGAUUGUAAAACUCUGUCUUCAGGGACGAUAAUGACGGUACCUGAGGAGGAAGCCACGGCUAACUACGUGCCAGCCGCCGCUGUAA
rnacentral:rRNA from 1 species